UACGUAGGGGGCAAGCGUUGUCCGGAUUUAUUGGGCGUAAAGAGCGUGUAGGCGGCUGGGUAGGUCCGUUGUGAAAACUGGAGGCUCAACCUUCAGAGGUCGACCGAAACCAUCUGGCUAGAGUCCGGGAGAGGAGAGUGGAAUUCCUGGUGUAGCGGUGAAAUGCGCAGAUAUCAGGAGGAACACCAGCGGCGAAGGCGGCGCUCUGGGCCGGAACUGACGCUGAGGAGCGAAAGCGUGGGUAGCAAACAGG
rnacentral:rRNA from 1 species